rnacentral:sRNA from 1 species
GUCGAUCGGGAUACUCAUCAAAUUUUUAUUGAAAUGCCGAGUCAAGCAUUUUUGCCAAUGGCGGGCCCCAACCGACGAGGUGUUCCUUCCGGAACCGGGGGAUUACAAAGGCACUGAUGCCCUCAAAUCCUGUAUUUAUCGGAGUUUCAUCACAUCCUUUGAUGUGGCUUC